CUGAAUCAAUGUAUUGACUGCACCGAAUCAAUGAAUUUACUGAAUCUUGCAGUCAAUUCAUUGAUUCGAUGCAGUCAAUUCAUUGAUUCGGUGCAGUCAAUUCAUUGAUUC
rnacentral:pre_miRNA from 1 species